rnacentral:rRNA from 1 species
GACGAACCGUGCGAACGUUGUUCGGAAUCACUGGGCUUAAAGGGCGCGUAGGCGGGCUGCCGCGUCCGGGGUGAAAUCCCACGGCUCAACCGUGGAACGGCCUCGGAUACGGGCGGCCUCGAGGGGGGUAGGGGCAUCUGGAACUGUGUGUGGAGCGGUGAAAUGCGUUGAUAUUCACAGGAACUCCGGUGGCGAAGGCGAGGUGCUGGACCCCUUCUGACGCUGAGGCGCGAAAGCCAGGGGAGCGAACAGG